CCCUUAGAUGUCCUGGGCAGCACGCGUGCUACAAUGAUGCAUUCAACGAGUCUUGCCUUAACCGAAAGGUUCGGGUAAACUUUUGAAAUUGCAUCUUGUCGGGGCUUGAUCAUUGUAAUUUUUGAUCACAAACAAGGAAUUCCUUGUAAAUGUGAGUCAUCAACUUGCAUUGAAUACGUCCCUGCCCUUUGUACACACCGCCCGUCGCUUCUACCGAUUGAAUGACUCGGUGAAAAAUUGGGACCGUGAGUCUGUUUGCUUCAUUGCGAGUGGAUUGAUGGGAACUUUUUUAAACCUCGCCAUUUAGAGGAAGGUGAAGUCGUAACA
rnacentral:rRNA from 1 species